rnacentral:rRNA from 1 species
UCAAAUUUGAAAUCUGGGUCUUUCAGGCUCCGAGUUGUAAUUUGUAGAAGAUGCUUCGGGUGCGGCUCCGGUCUAAGUCCCUUGGAACAGGGCGUCAUAGAGGGUGAGAAUCCCGUAUGUGAUCGGUGGCCUGCGCCCGUGUGAAGCUCUUUCGACGAGUCGAGUUGUUUGGGAAUGCAGCUCAAAAUGGGUGGUAUAUUUCAUCUAAAGCUAAAUAUUGGCCAGAGACCGAUAGCGCACAAGUAGAGUGAUCGAAAGAUGAAAAGCACUUUGGAAAGAGAGUUAAACAGUACGUGAAAUUGUUGAAAGGGAAGCGCUUGCAACCAGACUUGCGCGUUGUUGAUCAUCCGGGGUUCUCCCCGGUGCACUCGACCUCGCUCAGGCCAGCAUCGGUUUCGGUGGUUGGAUAAAGGCCUUGGGAAUGUAGCUUCUUUCGGGGAGUGUUAUAGCCCUCGGUGCAAUGCAGCCAACCGGGACCGAGGACCGCGCUUCGGCUAGGAUGCUGGCGUAAUGGUUGUAAGCGACCCGUCUUGAAACACGGACCAAGGAGUCUAACAUCUAUGCGAGUGUUUGGGUGUCAAACCCAUACGCGUAAUGAAAGUGAACGGAGGUGAGAACCCUUUAGGGUGCAUCAUCGACCGAUCCUGAUGUCUUCGGAUGGAUUUGAGUAAGAGCAUAGCUGUUGGGACCCGAAAGAUGGUGAACUAUGCCUGAAUAGGGUGAAGCCAGAGGAAACUCUGGUGGAGGCUCGCAGCGGUUCUGACGUGCAAAUCGAUCGUCAAA